UUAAAGAUAAAUUUUGGUGGUUUUGAUCUUGCCUCCAGUGUCUUACAUCUCAAAGAGUCACUAAUAUUUGAAGAGUUUCUGAAUUGCUAUUUUCUGUUUCAGGUCAGUAUAUAAAGUCUACGAAGGCAGCUGGGGAAACAACUCCUGAAGGCCUUUCGGGGUGAGAUUAUGAUGACAUUCAGACCAAUAUUACUUCAUAACGUAAGCCGGAGAGUCGUCUCGAGAGCACAUCAAAAUACCGUAAGUUUUAUAUUUCAAUUACUCCAUAGCUCAUAUCUGGGAAAUUUGUCCGUCAUUCCUUGGCCGAAUGUGUUUGCGGAGCAAUUUGAGGAGCUCUACUUGAUGAUAUUAAGGUUGGGAGAGCGCAAAAAGGAUCUCUUGUAAUAAAAAGGGAGAACCGACGUAAAACAACACCGGCCGUAAAAACCGUCAUAUCUUCUACAACAGGUAACGAACUUCGGU